UACGGAGGGUGCAAGCGUUAUCCGGAUUUACUGGGUUUAAAGGGUGCGUAGGCGGUCUUUUAAGUCAGCGGUGAAAGCUUCGGGCUUAACUCGAAAAUUGCCGUUGAUACUAUUAGUCUUGAAUUAAGUUGAGGUGGGCGGAAUAUGUCAUGUAGCGGUGAAAUGCUUAGAUAUGACAUAGAACACCGAUUGCGAAGGCAGCUCGCUAAACUUAUAUUGACGCUGAGGCACGAAAGCGUGGGGAUCAAACAGG
rnacentral:rRNA from 1 species